UAAUGUUGAAAGAGUGCUCAACACGACAUACUGUAAGUGACUAAAAACAUUCAAUAUAUGUGAACUGUUUAGUGUUUAACGAUAGAAAGGAUGAACAUCUGACAGUAUUCACUGAUGCAAACUUAAAUUAUGCUGAAAAUGCUGGUUUAGAUUAAAUAUAUGUAAUUUACGUGAUGUCAUUUAUAAUUCUCUGUCAAUUCAGCAUUUUAUUCAGAGGUGUUUUGUGGAUAUUGUAAUUUAAUUUAAUGGUUAUCAAGUAAAUAUACACUAAUACAAAUAUUAAAUCAUCCUCAAGGGAUGUGUGGCUUUAAAAUGUUUGUAAAUGAAUAAAAUUAAAAAAAUGACAAAAUGAAUAAAAAUCUUUGCCAAUAGUUAAAUGCACUGAACAACAAAUUCCACAACCUUUGUGUGAUCUGUGCUCAUAAUUUAAAGGGACUGUUCAGCUUAAACUAGAAGUAAUUCCAUCCAUCCAUUUUCUACCGCUUUAUCCGAACUACCUCGGGUCACGGGGAGCCUGCGCCUAUCUCAGGAGUCAUCGGGCAUCAAGGCAGGAUACACCCUGGAUGGAGUGCCAACCCAUCGCAGGGCACUAGAAGAUUAAAGUGAGUCUCGGGGGAAUUCACGUUACUUCACCUCAAGGCGACGCAGGAUUGAAACUUAAUAACAACAAAUGUGAUAAUAGCUCAAACUUUAAAAUCGUAUCUCUUCUAAUCUUCCCAUUUAGCCUAAAUCCUACAAAUGUUUUGUUAUAUUGAAAGUGAAACUAACUUGGCUUGGCGCAGGUUUUUAUCCAAUCCCUGAAAUGGUUGAUCAGUUGCUAAGCAGACAUUAAUGUUUUAGGUAGGCCUGUUUUUAUUUUCUGUUAAAGCACCAAUAAUAAAGGUUAUUAUCAGUUUAUAUAUCAGUUAACACAUUCAUUAAUGGAAUUAUAAACUAAGACAUGUUAUCUAUUUGAAGCAGAAAAACACAAUUGUUCUUUUAAGUUUUCUAAUCUUUAUUGUCCCAUCUUAAAAAUUACAAUAUUUCCUCUGGGGGAACAGUACAAAUUAUGCUCUAUAGUGAUAUUAAUUUACUAAACAUGUGAGCAAAUGUAGGUUAAAAACAGAAUCGAAAUAAUAUUUCAAAAGAAAUAUCUUUAAUCACAAAAAAGCGAAACUAUCGCCCCAUCACUUAAACUUUAACUAAAAAGUUUACUCCUGCAUGUUGUACACAGCAUUUACAAAGAGAGGAAUGAAAAAGUGAAAUAACCAGAAAUCAAACCCAUACAGAAACACGUAGCAGCUAAACUUUAAGUAUAAACCUUACUUUAAUGUUGAACAACUUUACGUUGAUUUAAGUUGGCUCAAAAAAAUAUCAAUUUUAUCAGUUUUCUUCCAUCCUCAUUUGUAUACAUUUUGAAUCUUGAAAGGCACCUCUGUAGAGG